AUCGCUUCUCAGCCUUUUGGCUAAGAUCAAGUGUAGAAGUUUUCAUUCUGCCUGCGCAAUUUCACAUAUAUAGUUUUGUUUUCUGUUUUUUAUCUUUUUAGUUUUUUGAGACAAGGUCUUGCUAUGUAGUUCAGGUUGGCCUCAAACUUGCAGUAAUCCUUCUUCCUCAGCCUCCCAAA
ensembl:snRNA U2 U2 spliceosomal RNA